rnacentral:rRNA from 1 species
UACGAAGGGGGCUAGCGUUGCUCGGAAUCACUGGGCGUAAAGGGUGCGUAGGCGGGUCUUUAAGUCAGGGGUGAAAUCCUGGAGCUCAACUCCAGAACUGCCUUUGAUACUGAAGAUCUUGAGUUCGGGAGAGGUGAGUGGAACUGCGAGUGUAGAGGUGAAAUUCGUAGAUAUUCGCAAGAACACCAGUGGCGAAGGCGGCGACCUGGGUAGAUACUGACGCUGAGGCGCGAAAGCGUGGGGAGCAAACAGG